rnacentral:rRNA from 1 species
AGCGAACGCUGGCGGCAGGCUUAACACAUGCAAGUCGAACGCCCCGCAAGGGGAGUGGCAGACGGGUGAGUAACACGUGGGAACGUACCCUUUGGUUCGGAAUAACUUGGGGAAACUCAAGCUAAUACCGGAUAAGCCCUUAUGGGGAAAGGUUUACUGCCGAAGGAUCGGCCCGCGUCUGAUUAGCUUGUUGGUGAGGUAAUGGCUCACCAAGGCGACGAUCAGUAGCUGGUCUGAGAGGAUGAUCAGCCACACUGGGACUGAGACACGGCCCAGACUCCUACGGGAGGCAGCAGUGGGGAAUAUUGGACAAUGGGGGCAACCCUGAUCCAGCCAUGCCGCGUGAGUGAUGAAGGCCUUAGGGUUGUAAAGCUCUUUUACCCGGGACGAUAAUGACUGUACCGGGAGAAUAAGCCCCGGCUAACUUCGUGCCAGCCGCCGCGGUAA